AGGUACUGUCGAACGAGAUUUCAAAGAAACAGAAGGUUAGUUGAAUCGUAAUGUUCACAAUUUUGCCGUAAGCAUGAGAUCCAUAAAUGAUUGUAAUGCUGGGGUUUUUUUCGGCGAAAUUUAUUUCAACCCAGGUAAUCACUGCCGCCUUAAGCCCAUUCAAACGAGUUUAGCCUACAUUGUUGGAUAAUGUUGGAUGGAAAUUUUUAAACAUGGUCAAAAACUAUCCAACAUCAGCCAAUAUUACCCAGCACAUGUGUUCAAACGAUGCCAAUAAUAAUCGUUGAUGUUGGAUCUUCACGUGUUGCUGACAUGUUAGAAGAGCUUGUGAUGUUACUCUGAAUGUAUAUCCACACCGGGCAAGCUUGAAAAAUAUGCCUGGCCACUUUGGGAAUCGAACCUACGACCUUUGGAAUGCUAGCCCAAUGCUCUACCAACUGAGCUACGCGGUCAGGUCGGUCAGGUUUUCAUGAUUACUAGAUUACAUCGAUAUCGAAGGAACUAUAGACUCAGUUCCGAAAUAUCACAUACUCGUACCGACGUAGCUCAGUUCGAUUCCCACCGUGGUCAGGCAUAUUUUUCAAGCUUGCCCGGUGUGGAUAUACACUCAGACUAACAUCACAAGCAUCAUAUUCACCUGAGUACAUUACACCAACACGAGAAAAUUCAUGUUAGAAGAGGUUCUUAAAGCUUCUGGUGAUUGGUCGGAAUAACAAAUUUUGCACAGAGAGAAAUUUGGUGAUAGUAGCCUCUCUUCCUUCUGAAAUUUGCCAUUGAAUAAUUAAUUAAUGAGGUUAAGCCAAUAUGGCCGUCUCAAGUCUCAUUAUCUCGUGUUUGAAACGAUCUAAAACCCACUACAAGAGGAGUGGGAAGCUAGUAUAUACUUUAAGUUACGUAGAGGAAGAUAUUUCCCUGAUAGUAUAACUUAUUUUUAGACACGUAACGAUUUGAUUCGUAAAGGAAUGUGACAGAUUUAAAAUCUCUCCUCAUAAAAAUAUUUUGGCUUCAAAAUUAAUUAUCUGAAUUCAAAAAGUUGCUCGCUCCAGUCAAAGAUUUGAGAUCAGUGCAGCAGAAAGAAAAGAAUUAAGAUGUGUGUAAAGAUGCGACACGAAGCCUAUUGCAAUAAAUUAUUUCAUUAAAAUAUGCUUAAUAUUUAAUCUUAACAUUUUGGGUGUUUUUCAAGAUUGCAGAUGAAACAGAGGAAAAGAUCAACCAAUCAAGAUUAGGAUAUCGUCCUAUUGCUUUCCAUGCAUCUGUCCUGUUUUUCUCUAUCACGGAUUUACCAAAUAUUGACCCUAUGUAUCAGUCUUCCCUAAAUUGGUUCAUCAAUCUCUUUGUUAAUUCCAUCGCAGAUAG